AUUGAACGCUGGCGGCAUGCCUUACACAUGCAAGUCGAACGGCAGCACGGGGGCAACCCUGGUGGCGAGUGGCGAACGGGUGAGUAAUGCAUCGGAACGUGCCCAGUAGUGGGGGAUAACCAGUCGAAAGACUGGCUAAUACCGCAUACGACCCAGGGGUGAAAGCGGGGGCCCGGAAGGCCUCCCGCUAUUCGAGCGGCCGAUGUCUGAUUAGCUAGUUGGCGGGGUAAGAGCCCACCAAGGCGACGAUCAGUAGCUGGUCUGAGAGGACGACCAGCCACACUGGGACUGAGACACGGCCCAGACUCCUACGGGAGGCAGCAGUGGGGAAUUUUGGACAAUGGGCGCAAGCCUGAUCCAGCCAUGCCGCGUGCGGGAAGAAGGCCUUCGGGUUGUGAACCGCUUUUGGCAGGAACGAAACGGCGCAGGCCAAUACCUUGCGCUAAUGACGGUACCUGCAGAAUAAGCACCGGCUAACUACGUGCCAGCAGCCGCCGUAAUAC
rnacentral:rRNA from 1 species